AUACUUACUGGUUCCGGGGCCUCGUUGAUCACCGAGGACCAGCCCCCAGGGCGAGGCGAGGGCAUUGCCCUCCGAUCGCGUUGACCCCUGCCACUACCCCAAACUGUGCAGGCGGGGCAUGCAAGUUGGU
rnacentral:snRNA from 1 species